UACGUAGGGUGCAAGCGUUGUCCGGAAUUAUUGGGCGUAAAGAGCUCGUAGGCGGUUUGUCGCGUCUGCUGUGAAAACUCGGGGCUUAACCCCGGGCCUCGCAGUGGGUGACGGGCAGACUAGAGUGCGGUAGGGGAGACUGGAAUUCCUGGUGUAGCGGUGAAAUGCGCAGAUAUCAGGAGGAACACCGGUGGCGAAGGCGGGUCUCUGGGCCGUAACUGACGCUGAGGAGCGAAAGCGUGGGGAGCGAACAGG
rnacentral:rRNA from 1 species